rnacentral:rRNA from 1 species
UACGUAGGCGGCAAGCGUUGUUCGGAAUUACUGGGCGUAAAGAGUGUGUAGGCGGUGCUCUAAGUCUGUUGUGAAAUCUCUCGGCUCAACCGAGAAACGUCGGCUGAUACUGCCGUUCUUGAGGGAUGCAGAGGAGAAUGGAAUUCCUGGUGUAGCGGUGAAAUGCGCAGAUAUCAGGAAGAACACCCGUGGCGAAGGCGGUUCUCUGGGACGGUACUGACGCUGAGACGCGAAAGCGUGGGGAGCGAACAGG